rnacentral:rRNA from 1 species
CUCUGUUGCCUCCGGGGCGACCCUGCCUUCGGGCGGGGGCUCCGGGUGGACACUUCAAACUCUUGCGUAACUUUGCAGUCUGAGUAAACUUAAUUAAUAAAUUAAAACUUUUAACAACGGAUCUCUUGGUUCUGGCAUCGAUGAAGAACGCAGCGAAAUGCGAUAAGUAAUGUGAAUUGCAGAAUUCAGUGAAUCAUCGAAUCUUUGAACGCACAUUGCGCCCCCUGGUAUUCCGGGGGGCAUGCCUGUUCGAGCGUCAUUUCACCACUCAAGCCUCGCUUGGUAUUGGGCAACGCGGUCCGCCGCGUGCCUCAAAUCGACCGGCUGGGUCUUCUGUCCCCUAAGCGUUGUGGAAACUAUUCGCUAAAGGGUGUUCGGGAGGCUACGCCGUAAAACAACCCCAUUUCUAAGGUUGACCUCGGAUCAGGUAGGGAUACCCGCUGAACUUAAGCAUAU